CGGAGUGUAGCCCAGUCUGGUAGCGCACCACGUUCGGGACGUGGGGGUCGCAGGUUCAAAUCCUGCCACUCCGACCA
rnacentral:tRNA from 1 species